ensembl:snoRNA
GUAAAAUGAUGAACCUGUUUAUCCAUUCUCUGAGUGUCUCCAGGCCCUCCUCUCUAUCGCCAGAGCUCUCACCUGUUCUAGGUUUGAGUUCUGGCUCUGCCGGCCUCCUCUUCUCUGCUUCAGUGUUCUACUGUUGCAGGUGAUGCUGGAGGCCCAUGCAGGUUUGGAGGGCCAGGGUUCACCAAAGACGAGUUGACGGGACUGAUUGC